ACAAAAUGAAGUAUUGCCUCUGAAUGCAGCAGGCCAUGUGAAUUCUACUGUGAUACCUGUCGACAAUGUAAAUAAGCCUGAGGAGGGAGAGAGACUGCUUAAAGAUGGAUCAAAAGCAGGAAGUCAGGAGAGCGAUUUGUCUGACUCUGGUAA